GCGCCCUUAGCUCAGCUGGAUAGAGCACGUCCCUUCUAAGGAUGUGGUCGUAGGUUCAAAUCCUACAGGGCGUGCCA
rnacentral:tRNA from 1 species